rnacentral:lncRNA from 1 species
CUAUUGGGAGGCACACAGAGUUAAGUGUUUUCCUCAUAUCACUGCUUUCAUUGUGUUCCAUAGGUUUGGGUAUGUUAUGCCUUCAUUUUCAUUGAAUACAAAAGUCUUUAAUUUCUUUAUUUUCUCCUUGACCAAGUUAUGAUUAAGAAGAGCACUGUUUAAUUUCCAUGUAUAUGUGAGUUUUCUACUGUUAUUGUUGUAAUUGAAGAGCAGUCUUAGUCCAUGGUGAUCUGAUAGGAUGCAUGGGAUUAUUUGAAUCUUCUUGUAUCUGUUGAGGCUUGUUUUGUGACCAUUUAUAUGAUCAGUUUUGGAGAAUGUACCAUGAGGUGCUGGUAACAGUCUUUUGAUUUUAGGAUGAAAUGUUCUAUUGAUAUCUGUUAAAUCCAUUUGGUUCAUAAAUUCUUUUUGUUUCACUGUGUCUAUGCUAAGUUUCUGUUUCCAUGAUCUGUCCCUUGCUGAGAUUUUGUGCUGAAAUCUCCCACUAUUAUUGUGUGAAGCACAAUGUAUGCUUUGAACUUUAGUAGUUUCUUUUAUGAAUAUAGGUGCCUUUGCAUUUGGAGCAUAGAUAUUCAGAAUUGAGAGUUCCUCUUGGAGAAUUUUACCUCCUUGUCUUUUUUGAUAACUUUGGGUUGGAAGUCGAUUUUAUUCG